AAAGAAGAUAAAGUAUUGGAUGAAACUAAUAAUAAAGAUCAUAGCAAUGAUAAAAUUGAAAAACAGCAAAAGCUAAGAGAACUAGUAGAAACAGAGAAAAGGAAAAGUAGUGAUGAAAAAUAUUCCUGGGAAGAUAAACCUACAAAAGAAGAUGAAAAUGAUAGAAAAACAACGAAAUGUUCGGAUAUUUUCGUAUAUAUAUUCCGCAAACUUCCUUCCCGCAUAUUUUCGUGUUGCAGAAGAAAAAAGUAACGUGCCAUUGGUAAAAAA